rnacentral:rRNA from 1 species
GGCUACUGCUAUCGGGGUUCGAUUAAGCCAUGCGAGUUAAAUGUUCUUCGUGAACAUAGCGAACUGCUCAGUAACACGUGGAUAACCUACCCUUAGGACCGGAAUAACCCCGGGAAACUGGGGAUAAUACCGGAUAAGCCAUAGACGCUGGAAUGCCCUAUGGUUCAAAGCUCCGGCGCCUAAGGAUGGAUCUGCGGUCUAUCAGGUUGUAGUGGGUGUAACGUACCUACUAGCCGACGACGGAUACGGGUUGUGAGAGCAAGAGCCCGGAGAUGGAUUCUGAGACACGAAUCCAGGCCCUACGGGGUGCAGCAGGCGCGAACACUUUACAAUGCGGGAAACCGCGAUAAGGGAACCCCGAGUGCCAGCAUCAAAUGUUGGCUGUCCGGAUGAUUAAAAAUCAUUUGUUAGCAAGGGCCGGGCAAGACCGGUGCCAGCCGCCGCGGUAACACCGGCGGCCCGAGUGGUAGCCGUUUUUAUUGGGUCUAAAGGGUCCGUAGCCGGCCUGAUAAGUCCUUUGGGAAAUCUGGCAGCUUAACUGUCAGGCUUCUAAGGGAUACUGUCAGGCUUGGGACCGGAAGAGGUAAGGGGUACUCCAGGGGUAGGAGUGAAAUCUUGUAAUCCCUGGGGGACCAUCUGUGGCGAAGGCGCCUUACCAGAACGGGUCCGACGGUGAGGGACGAAAGCUAGGGGAGCAAACCGGAUUAGAUACCCGGGUAGUCCUAGCUGUAAACGAUGCUCGCUAGGUGUCAGACACGGUGCGACCGUGUUUGGUGCCGCAGGGAAGCCGUUAAGCGAGCCACCUGGGAAGUACGGUCGCAAGGCUGAAACU